CAGGGGCCAGCCGCCUGCUCUGCCCACUCGGUCCCCGCCAGGUGUGAGCCCUAGUGGCCGCGGGUGCCAACCCAUCAGACUCCAUCAGACCCCCCAAGAUCACCCCAAAUGUCUUUAAAAUAUUUCAUAUAGUCAAAUGACUUUGUCAUGUAAACUAGACAAGGCAUCUUGAGGAAAUGUUUUCUGAUCUUUAGCACAAAAGUUAAAACAAGUGCUUGCUAUGCAACAGCGGCUUCCCAAUUAGAUUACCAUUUCUAAACCUUACUGUGUCAGGCUUUGAGCUAGACAUCAGGUUAGACUACAAGAAAUAUGAGAAUAUGAACCAGGGCUGGGAUUAGGUCCACCUUAUUCACUAUUGUAGUCUGGCCGUAGAGUUCAUGUCUGACACAGUUGGUGCUCAAUAGGACUGAAUGAGUGAGUGAAGGAAUGCCCUGCUAUGAAGGAGCACCCCUUUGUUGGGGAAGACUGUGAAGUACAGAUUUCAUUAUGUGGACACUCCUCUUGACCAGCCCAGCAUGAAUGAACUAGAAGAUGAACCAGACUGCUAACUAAUUGCUCUAACAGAGGUACAGCAAUGGUGCAGAACACACAGGAGUGGUCUGACCCAAUGGAAGAGGUUUCACAGAGACAGGUGAAGACUGGAGUGGAAAGAAUGGCCUUCCUUUCCCCGCAGCUCUGCAAGUCCCUCUCCUUCAGCUGGCUAUCUUCCUCACUGUAAGAAGUGUGACAGGGGCUAUUUUCCAGGGCAGCCCCAGGGUAACCAGGCAGUCUGCCUCAGAUCAGACCAGGCAGGUGUGGCCUGGAGCUGGUGCAGCCAAGAGAAGGAAUGAUAUGAUAAACCUCCAUGUAACCAUCACCCAGCAUCAUUAGUUACCUUCCUUCAAACAAUUCUUAAAGGACAGCCCGUGGCGGCGAGAAGUUCGACAGUCCCAGUCAGUCCUCACUCGGCCACUGACCAGCUGUGGGACUUCGCCUGGGUCAUCCAUCCCCUCUGAGCCUUCCUUUCCCCUCCUUUGCAAGUGGAGCCAGUCACACAUCUCCCCAAGGGCUGUAGUGAAGAGACAAGAAACCGCCACGAAAAGCACGACGCUGGUGUCAGGAAGUAUGUCUCAUGAACGGUCACUCUGCCAACCUAUUUCAGCGGCCCUUCUGCAGGACCCCUCUGUGGAGGGCACGAAGACACGGAGCUGGACGGGAGAGCAUGCUGACUGGAAAGAGCUGGGGAGAAACGAGCUGGGGACCGGGUUUGAGAAAGCGACACAUGGACUCCAGAGGCAACAGCAAGAAUCCGAGAAGAGCAAGUCUGAGCACAAGGCCAAGCGGAAAAUCAAGUGGGGUUAUUUUUUUUACUAACCUACAUGGGCAGCAACACACAAAACUAUGGCUCUUGGGCCCCGAUUCCUGCAGUGAGGUGCCUCACAUCUCGGGUUGCUAGAGAGCAGAGGCGAUCCUGCUCCAGAACCUCCCUGCUCCGCCUCCUCUCCGCCUUGACCCCUCACCACUAAAAGCAACAAGAUUUCCAGUAAAUGUGGGGAAAACUCAUCUCUCUUCCUCUGUAAAAGGUGGAGGGGGGCAGGGUACUAAAAAUGGAGAAAGGUCCACCACACCAACUCCAGCCAACCGGGAGCCUGAUUUCCUUAGCGAGAUUAAGAUCUGGAUCCAAGGAGUGGUUUAACCCAACCCCCCAGCACUUGGCCCAAGAUCUUCUGUCAGUUUUCCUCCUGGAACUCCCUAGAGCAAGGCUUCUUCAGGUCUCUUCCCCCAUUUGGCAGCUCAUGGAAAACUGCCUGAAAUAGUAACAGCUAGGUCUGAAUUAGUAAAGAACUCUAGUUAUGGGUGGGCUCGAGCUAAGAAAGAAGCUCCAUGGGCCUCCUGGUUUAUUUGGGCCCUGAGAACAGACUCCACCAACACUAGCCUCAGAAUUCUUGAAUUCUGCCCUUUAAGGCCAAACUUUCCCGCCCUCUCUUCAUAGCAGCAGCCUCCACAGCUGCUGGGGAAAUUUAGCAGGUACAUUCUAGAGCCUGGAGCCAGUUGCAUAGCAUUGUGGGUUAAGCAGAGGUAAUGAGAAUAGUGAGUAAUGAUCAGGAGCCAGAGUCUGGGUGUAAAAUCCCAGCUCUGUCUUUUGCUACCUGUAUGGCCUUGGGCAAGUCACUUCACCUAUGAAAGGCUCAUACCAACUGGUGUGUUGAAGAUUAAACAGGCGUUAACAUCUGUGUAAGUGCUUGGCAUUGUGCCUCGUCCAUUUCAUACCCCAUAAGGGAUAUCUACAAUUAUCCUUACAGCCUUAGAAAGAACAGAGGCAGAGUUUGAAGCCUGCCUUGACUGUUUACUGACUAGCCUGUGGAAAAUUACUUAAUUUUUUAAGUUUCAUGUUCCUCAGCUGUAAAACGAGGUGGGUAAAUUACAGGAAAAACAUCCUUUGGUCCUUCUGCCCCUUCCCAAUGUAUACUCAACACUCAACACUGACAACACACUAGAAAAAGAGCAUGCAGUUAGGGUACGUGGGUGGCUCAGCUGGUUAAGUAUCUGACUCUUGAUGUUGGCUCAGGUUAUGAUCUCAAGGUUGUGAGACUGAACCCUGUGUUGAGCCCACGCCAAGCCUGCUCAAGAUUCUCUCCCUCUCCCCCUGUUCACUCCCCCCCACUCCAACCCCAAAGCAUACGCUCUCACUCCCUCAAAAAAAAAAGAGAGAGAGAGAGAGAGAAACCUGUCCCAGGGCUUGAUCUGUCCACAGGCUGUCACGGAAGCUGAGGGAAAAAUGUGCACUGGGAGGGAGACAGUCAUGUCCUGGUGUAGCGGUGAAGUGGAAAACAAAACAACUGUUUAUUUUUCCCUGAAUGCACUGCUGGCUGAAAUGGCCAGGCAGUUUUACAGAACUUCAUUCCCUUAACCAAACAUCCCGGCUGAAAUGGGCAAAAGCCCUUAGACUUGUCACAGGAGAGCCCUUUGCAGCCAAGUGAGCCCCCUUGGUUUCCCCUUUCCCACCCCAUCACUUCAUCUCUCUGCAAUCAAGUUCAAACUCAAUCUCAACAGUGU